ACCCCAGGACCAUGAUGGCGCACAGCAGCAGCCAGUGACAAGGAAAUGGAGGCAUUCUAUUGACAUCUAAGGCUGCCUUUGACAUAUGCCAGGCCAAGAGGAAUGUGACCACAGUCUCCCUUCUCAUGGAAAAAGCGAGGAAGGGGGAGGCUGGUGGCUAGAUAGUGGAGCACAUUUAGCAGGCAGGGCAGGUAGGACGUGUCCAUCCAUGUGGGUGUCUGCUGCAGUUGUACAGGACGAAUGCCACUCACGGCUGACAAGUCGGGGGAGACGGGAGGGAUGCUUUAGUGUCCUGGCUUUGGUUGCCGUCGUGAGCAGAUGAGGCGUGACCGGAGGGGCGGGGAGGCGAGGUCAGCCUGCACCUCCCAGAGAGAAGGACGAGACAAUGUGGUGACUGUUUGCUGUCAGUGCUUACUAUUCUCCGCGCGUAGUGCUGCGACAUUAUCUACCUCUGUAGCCGUCAUUCCUUACUCCUGUCAUAACAUUACAACAUGUGACGAUGGAGGUGCCACGGGAAGUAUGCAUCCGUCUGGUAAAAUAACCGUGAAGAUAUGAGAGUUGUGAUGGGGGCAUGAGUGGCAGAGUAAUCUCAACUUAAUAAGUUUCUGACAGCGUGGCCGUGACAAGAAUGUGGCGCCAACCACAGAACGUCCUAGAAGACGGAUCACCAACCUCAAGCAGCUAUACAGCAGCAGAGUGUUCAGUUCUUAUUAACAUUUCUAAGUCAAGCUAACCCCGCAUUCAAAACAAACAAAAAAGCCGUGACAAGCAGGUCUGUGUAAGCGCCGGGCUAUAAAUACAUGUUGUCAACAAAAAUAGCGAGAGAGGCGGCAGGCGGCACAAGAAUGGCCGGCAGGGAAAGUGGAGAGGGCGGAUGGCAGGACAUCGCAAUGAUCGGAAUGCUGCCCGCCUGUCGAUGUGGGACCCUCCGCACUGGUGUGGCCGUUAGUUGUCAACUUGUCUUUGCUCUCACACACCCGCCCAUCGAUGAUGUCAUAGGCAUGGCGCCCAGUGUCCAGGCGGUUUGCACUUCUCGCCGAUCAACCGAAAAGUGAAUGCGUUAGAGAAGAUGAGGACAGCCUGAUCUGUUUUGUUAGCGCUUUACGCCGUGCCAGCAACUAUAUCAGGGCGAGAGAAAGUAAUGUUAAACAAAACCUCCAGGUGAGAUAACAUCCUAAAUAACAAAAGCCAUCAGGGACCUCAACCAUCAUAAUCCCAUCCUCCCCCGACACGGCAAACGCAGGGGGCAAAAGAGCAGGCCAUCAAAAGAAUGACAUGAUGGAAAAAGAUAACAGGAGAAAGACCAAUGUAGACAGAUGAUAGGAAAGAAAAAACUGUAUGAUGACAGGGAGGGGGUUUGUUAGAAAGACAGUAUAGGUGAAAAGGCCGGUGAGACAGAAAAAAUAAAAGCGUAAGAGAAAGGGGUGGCCAGCUUAGUCACCCUGCCAGACACGGGCUGGAUGCUCACCCCCAGCAUGAGAAGUAAGGCCCACGUGGAGGACGACACUCUGAAGCGACUGCUCGGUUGAGCUGGCACAUACACUUUGUCUCUCUGUCUCAUGUCUAGCAGAGUAUCAUUGGAAUAUCCUUGUAUCAAUGUGUCAGUUUGAAAACAAAUGCUCCCCACUAGGGCUUUAUGUUUUAGGUGUCGGCGGUUUGUUGAUGUGGGUGUUGUGAGUGCCACCUGGCACCAUUCACAGUCUGUAGCCACUCGGCUCGCUUCCUGUGGUGGCGGCACCGUGUUUUCACAUUACCAUUGUCUACAAGUCCUCAGUGGACAAGCAGAAUGCACACCGACGCACUCACCCCCACUCACACGAGACACAGACGAUGAUGAUAAUGUAACCCACAUCCUCCCGUUCUGGUGGCUUCAGGUUUCUGGCCUCGACAAGCGGAAUUGAAUGAGAAUUGAGACAGAAGGCAGACGUAAAGGAAAAAUGAAAGCAAAUGUAGUGUCAUCUCCUUUCCUGAAAAAAAAAAAAAAAAAAGCACACAGCGGUGCUGAGGUAUUUCCACGUUCCAGGACGCAGCCGCCGAUGUUCUGUUCAGUUCUGCUUUGCCCGCUAACCAAACUGUAUUAAGUAUAUUAAGCGGACAGGGCGACCUGGCAGCCAGCAAGUCAAGUGCAUCUCGUACUCACUCAAAUCAGAACCGCCCUCCCCCGCCCCUGUCCUCACACUACACCACCCCCUCUCCACGUGCGCUUGAGAGCCAGUGCGAUCCUUGUUCUUGUGUUUGCAAACACCAGCAAAAGCCGCUUCCACCAGGAGUCUCGAGCUUACACGACAGAGAAGGUGACGACAGGAGGAGAGAGGAGGAAGUCAUUUGAAGGGGUUGGGGUGGGAGCUGAUAACUUUUGUGAUAACAAAGACACAGACCAGCGAAAAUGUUUGAUUAGACAUCGGAAAGCGCUCACAGAGACUGUUCGAUCAUCUGUAUAUCGAACACUGAUACAAGUACAGGUAGGUAGACGUGAGUCUCUCUCUCUCUCAACCACAUGUCCCUUCAAAAAAACUCCUCUUAUAAUGUUGACUGACUCUACCAGGACCUUACACUCCCCCCCGAAGGCUGUGGCCUUAUGAGGUCCAUUACACGGAUGUAGAGAUGACAGGACCAGAUGUAGACAGACUUACAGCAAGCUGCCAUCCCCCUGUGACUCACCAAACAACCAGUAAAUACCAGCCCAGACGCUUCCAGCGCCUGCCAGACAUUUUCCAUUUCAACUAAUAGCCACGAGGCUGGUGUCGGACCAUCACAGUGAACAACAACACAUAAUAGACCAGCAGCUGGCCGCAGUUCACACCAUUCCACAGUUCAUUGACAUUUAAAAACAGACACAGGAUUUCGUCAACCUAUUCGCCUGGUAAUUUCCACAGAAUGGAGUCUGUGGGCAGAGUUGGACGAAAGUUCGUUACAGCUGAAGGAAGAGGUGUUCAGUGUCUAGAUGUCAGUCAUCUAACAGUUUCAUGCUAAAUGGAAAAGAUUCAAUGAGUAGGUGUUGGUCGUUCACCUGCUACACGUGGAAAACUAAGAUUUCAAUCAACUGUUACGUUUAACAACAAUUUGCAUCUUCUUCGCGACUUCCCAAAGUAUGCUCAGUCUGUUAUAAUACCUAUACAGUAUGAACUAUAUUUUACUGCGCCAAACAAAAGUUUUCUUCAACAUGAAGAACAUGUGUGACCAGCACCGGACAUUACAGCGAGGAAAUAGUUUAAAGCUUGACACGAGUUUUGUAUGGGACACCGCGAUGUCUGUGUAAACAAACAGUGUGUGUUACGGACACAGAUAAACAAAAACAUAUAAAGGCGAGGAGGAGGAGAAGGAGGAGUCAAUCUUGACCUGACUCAAGAACAGUACAAGCCCACAUCCCCGAGAAACGACUGCUCAACACUCGAUCCUUAAUUAGGGCGGUUCUGAAUAUUUGGAAAGAAGAAAUGGAGGACGAAUAAAAUAAUCUGUUGUAUAUAUUUUUUUUAAUUUUGUCGCAUAUCAUGGGCGUACCUGGUUGACGCAUCGUCCCACAGUGUACAUCUGCACUUUCCCCUCUAAGUAUUACCGCCCUCCAAUGAGCUCAAAUCAUCUUAUCAAAGGACACGCCGCUAGUUUCGUCACUCGACGUGAAGACAGAUGUUAGUUAUCCAAAUACUGCUGACGGCAGCAAAGUAAUAUAACCGUUGCUGCUGCUGCUGCUUCUACCAGUAUAUCAACCAUCGUCGCCGUCGCCUGUAAAGAACGUGGGACUGAUUUACAUGAGAGAGAAGGAACACGAUCCUGCCAUGCUGUGGUAGCCAGAAGUGGCAACAGACCAGACUGGCACAAAAGCCUUACAACGCAGACCGAGGACAAAGCUUUUCUAUGUUUUGCUUGAUUCGAUGAUAAGAAAGGGCAGUCAGGGAAGGGGGAGACUGGAGGGGACCCCACAUCUGUUUUGCCGCCUCUCUUCUUGAUGGACAUACUGAGACAGCUACCUGGUACAGACACCUGGUAUGUUUUGGUUGCUAACGACGACUCUGACACUCACCAAACCACGUUUGCAGUUUGCCAGUCCCCUCAAGUCAAGUCCCUCUAAUGGCCCUGCCCAAGUCCUGUCACAGGGCCAGAGUUGAUCGCGGAUUACGAUAAAACACUGGCAAUCAAUGGCAGCUCCGUAAGCACGGGCUCAAGAUACCCUCCCCCCUAGGAGAGUGGUGUUUGCGCUUCAGGUGUGCACACAGUCAGCCCGAUCUUCAGGUACAGGUGGGUCGAGGCGACCUAGGCCCAAUACAUACAGUGUUACACAGCCCUACAGCGGGUCGUUUGUGCAAGAACAGAUCCUUAUCACCGCAAGAAAAUAUCCCCUUCACGCACGUGUGGGCCUCAUGCAACAUACAUGAGAUACAAACAACGCACCUUUUCCAUGGAAACGCAUACAGAAACAAUUAGUUUAGUCCUUGUUACACCUCAAGGAGCACAGGGCCGCAACAGCACCUCGCCAACGGACUCGGUUUUGGGGCAGCUACCCUCAGUUGGGCCAUGUGGUUCCGACGUCCUUCCGCUAACAAACAAAACAAACAAACAAA
rnacentral:lncRNA from 1 species